GACGAACGCUGGCGGCGUGCUUAACACAUGCAAGUCGAACGGAAAGGCCCUGCUUUUGUGGGGUGCUCGAGUGGCGAACGGGUGAGUAACACGUGAGUAACCUGCCCUUGACUUUGGGAUAACUUCAGGAAACUGGGGCUAAUACCGGAUAGGAGCUCCUGCUGCAUGGUGGGGGUUGGAAAGUUUCGGCGGUUGGGGAUGGACUCGCGGCUUAUCAGCUUGUUGGUGGGGUAGUGGCUUACCAAGGCUUUGACGGCUAGCCGGCCUGAGAGGGUGACCGGCCACAUUGGGACUGAGAUACGGCGCAGACUCCUACGGGAGGCAGCAGGGGGGAAUAUGGCACAAUGGGCGGAAGCCUGAUGCAGCAACGCCGCGUGCGGGAUGACGGCCUUCGGGUUGUAAACCGCUUUCGCCUGUGACGAAGCGUGAGUGACGGUAAUGGGUAAAGAAGCACCGGCUAACUACGUG
rnacentral:rRNA from 1 species